rnacentral:rRNA from 1 species
UGAGGGAAUAUUGGGUCAAUGGGCGAGAGCCUGAACCAGCCAAGUAGCGUGCAGGAAGACGGCCCUAUGGGUUGUAAACUAGCUUUUAUGCGGGGAUAAAGUGUGGGACGUGUCCCUUAUUGCAGGUACCCUAUGAAUAAGGACCGGCUAAUUCCGUGCCAGCAGCCGCGGUAAUACGGAAGGUCCGGGCGUUAUCCGGAUUUAUUGGGUUUAAAGGGAGCGUAGGCCGUCUUAUAAGCGUGUUGUGAAAUGUCGGGGCGUCAACCUGGGCAUUGCAGCGCGAACUGUGAGACUUGAGUGCGCGGGAAGUAGGCGGAAUUCGUCGUGUAGCGGUGAAAUGCUUAGAUAUGACGAAGAACUCCGAUUGCGAAGGCAGCCUGCUGUAGCGCAACUGACGCU